GAACAGGUGCUUCAGAGACUGCAGCCUGAAGCUCUGGUGCAGCAGACAGUAACUCUAGCUGAAAAGUAUCAUCACAACAGUAUUGAUGAGGAGAAGGAUGAGUGCUGAACACAAAUUUUAAGUGGGCAAAAAACAACCAGCAGAGCAGAGUUGAAGAGGACAAGUGGCAAUAUUUUGGAAUGACAAGAUCCAUUCUGGUAUUCUAUAUGGUAGAUAUUUAACCAUCAGCUGCUUUUGGGUGACAAGGCAUGACC